rnacentral:rRNA from 1 species
GGAAAGUCCAAAAGGCGAAUCGCUCGUAGUUGAAUUCUGGAGAGGUAUUGGCUGAUCUUUUCAGUCUCUAAUCUUCUUCAUCCUUCUGUUAACUCUCUGCACUACGUGUUGGAGUAGAGCUCAGAUAUUUUACCUUGAGAAAAUUAGAGUGUUUCAGGCAGGCUAGGCCCCAAUACUACAGCGUGGAAAAAUAGAAUUGACAAUACUCUGUGGGUGCGCAGAAAGUGUUGAAAUGUUUAAAAAAAAACAGGGGGGGGGUUGGUUUUUUUUUUUUUCAGGGGGAAACCCCCGUUGUGUUUUAAUAUAAAAACGAAAAAUUUU